CUGCCGAAAGGGAAUCUGGUCCAUAUUCCAGAACCUGGUAGCGGAACCGUUCGGACCCUCGUAUCCGUCGUGGCAACGCGACACGACUAGGAGACGCCCACUGGAGCUCUGGGAAGAGUUGUCUUUUCUGCAUAAGCCGCCGCGGCCCUGGAAUCCUCUCGCAGGGAGAAUGGGUCAUGGCCAGGCGAAGAACGCCGCAGCUCUCGCGGCGUCCACGAGCGGCCGGUGGGACCUUGAAAAUCCUAGGGAGAUUACGGCGGAAUCGCACCAGCUCGUACCCAUAUCCGCAGCAGGUCUCCAAGGUUAAAAGCCUCUGGUCGAUAGAAUAAUGUAGGUAAGGGAAGUCGGCAAAUUAGAUCUGUACGUUCG
rnacentral:rRNA from 1 species